GGGUUGUGAGGUUAAGCGACUAAGCGUACACGGUGGAUGCCCUGGCAGUCAGAGGCGAUGAAGGACGUGCUAAUCUGCGAUAAGCGUCGGUAAGGUGAUAUGAACCGUUAUAACCGGCGAUUUCCGAAUGGGGAAACCCAGUGCAAUUCGUUGCACUAUCGUUAAGUGAAUACAUAGCUUAACGAAGCGAACCGGGGGAACUGAAACAUCUAAGUACCCCGAGGAAAAGAAAUCAACCGAGAUUCCCCCAGUAGCGGCGAGCGAACGGGGAGCAGCCCAGAGUCUGAAUCAGCAUGUGUGUUAGUGGAAGCGUCUGGAAAGUCGCACGAUACAGGGUGAAAGUCCCGUACACCAAAAUGCACAUGUUGUGAACUCGAAGAGUAGGGCGGGACACGUGGUAUCCUGUCUGAAUAUGGGGGGACCAUCCUCCAAGGCUAAAUACUCCUGACUGACCGAUAGUGAACCAGUACCGUGAGGGAAAGGCGAAAAGAACCCCGGCGAGGGGAGUGAAAAAGAACCUGAAACCGUGUACGUACAAGCAGUGGGAGCCUCUUUAUGGGGUGACUGCGUACCUUUUGUAUAAUGGGUCAGCGACUUAUAUUCUGUAGCAAGGUUAACCGAAUAGGGGAGCCGAAGGGAAACCGAGUCUUAACUGGGCGUUAAGUUGCAGGGUAUAGACCCGAAACCCGGUGAUCUAGCCAUGGGCAGGUUGAAGGUUGGGUAACACUAACUGGAGGACCGAACCGACUAAUGUUGAAAAAUUAGCGGAUGACCUGU
rnacentral:rRNA from 1 species